rnacentral:lncRNA from 1 species
UGUGGCCACUACUUCUUUGCAACCGUAAAAGAUUACGACAAAUUUAUUUUACCAAAUUGCUUGUUACAUCUUCAGGAUUAGGAGUUUCGUUUUGACCGAAGCUAUCCGGAGACUUCAUAUGAGAGUUAUUCCCCCUUAUGUAUUUGAUAUAAGUGAUUUGCAUUUCUAACUGGUAAACCAUAAGUGAUAGAGACCUAGGGUCUUUUGAUUUGAGAUCCUUGGUCCAAAAAAAUUAAAAUAAGGUCAAGGUCAAAGGUCAAGGUCAUAUUCUAAAUUUUUAUUUUGGCUUAUUUUUACUAGUUUUCAAAACCUUAUAACAUAUCAACA